AAAGAAACCAACAGGGAUUGCCCUAGUAACGGCGAGUGAAGCGGCAACAGCUCAAAUUUGAAAUCUGGCCCUCGGGUCCGAGUUGUAAUUUGUAGAGGAUGCUUUUGGUGAGGUGCCUUCCGAGUUCCCUGGAACGGGACGCCAUAGAGGGUGAGAGCCCCGUCUGGUUGGAUACCGAGCCUCUGUAAAGCUCCUUCGACGAGUCGAGUAGUUUGGGAAUGCUGCUCUAAAUGGGAGGUAUAUGUCUUCUAAAGCUAAAUACCGGCCAGAGACCGAUAGCGCACAAGUAGAGUGAUCGAAAGAUGAAAAGCACUUUGAAAAGAGAGUUAAAAAGUACGUGAAAUUGUUGAAAGGGAAGCGCUUAUGACCAGACUUGGGCUUGGUUGAUCAUCCUGGGUUCUCCCUGGUGCACUCUUCCAGUUCAGGCCAGCAUCAGUUCGCUGCGGGGGAUAAAAGUUUUGGGAAUGUGGCUCCCUCGGGAGUGUUAUAGCCCAUUGCAUAAUACCCUGCUCCGGACUGAGGUUCGCGCAUCUGCAAGGAUGCUGGCGUAAUGGUCAUCAGCGACCCGUCUUGAAACACGGACCAAGGAGUCGUCUUCGUAUGCGAGUGUUCGGGUGUUAAACCCCUACGCGUAAUGAAAGUGAACGCAGGUGAGAGCUUCGGCGCAUCAUCGACCGAUCCUGAUGUUCUCGGAUGGAUUUGAGUAAGAGCAUACGGGGCCGGACCCGAAAGAAGGUGAACUAUGCCUGUAUAGGGUGAAGCCAGAGGAAACUCUGGUGGAGGCUCGCAGCGGUUCUGACGUGCAAAUCGAUCGUCAAAUAUGGGCAUGGGGCGAAAGACUAAUCGAACCUUCUAGUAGCUGGUUUCCGCCGAAGUUUCCCUCAGGA
rnacentral:rRNA from 2 species